rnacentral:misc_RNA from 1 species
AGAAAAGCGCUUAUCAUUGAGCCGCCUUUGAACUAUGGAUGAGUUUAUUUCUUUGAUUCUUCAAGGGAUCAAGUUAGCUAAAGACCUUGAACCAACCCUACAAAACUUAGCGAAUCACCAAAACCAAGAUAUGGCUUCCAAGUUAGAUGAAAUCAUUAGGGUUUUCAUUUCUGCUAGGACGAGGUUAAAUGCUGAUCAACA